rnacentral:tRNA from 1 species
GCCUAAGUGGCGGAACUGGUAGACGCGCACGACUCAAAAUCGUGUACCGAAAGGUGUGCCGGUUCGAUUCCGGCCUUGGGUACUA